GACGAACGCUGGCGGUGUGCCUAACACAUGCAAGUCGAACGGAAAGGCCCCUUUGGGGGUACUCGAGUGGCGAACGGGUGCGUACCACGUGAGUAACCAGCCCUUGACACCUGGAUAACUUCAGUAAACUGGGGAUACUACCGGAAAGGCAUCAUUCCUGCUAGGUGGGGGUUGGAAAGAUCCGCCGGUCUUGGAUGGGCUCGCGGCCUAUCAGCUUGUUGGGGGGGUAGUGGCUUACCAAGGCUUCGAGGGGUAGCCGGCCUGAGAGGCCGAGCGGCCACAUUGAGACUGAGAGGAGGCAGAGACGCCUACGGGAGGCAGCAGUGGGGAAUAUUGAACAAGGGACGGAGGCCGGAUGCAGCAACGCCGCGUGCGGGAAGACGGCCUUCUGGUUGAAAACCACUUUCAGCAGAAGAGAAGCUUGUGGUGACGGUACCUAAAGAAGAAGCACCGGCUAACUACGUG
rnacentral:rRNA from 1 species